GUGAGUCUCCAUAUCCUCCUCUGUAGGUUUUUCUGUGUCCUACCAAACACACAUCAGUUUUCUCACAUGACAAUCUAUGUGUGGAGUUCACUUCACUGACGGAAGAAAGUGGAAAAUAUGUCUUUGUCUUAUAUUCUUCUCAUUUAUGUUGCCGGUGUUGCGGUAAAAGAAAGUUCUGCAGAUAUGGUUUCUACUCCCACUAUUGUAUUUUCCCCUGGGUACAUCAAUGUAGCUACACCUGUUACAGUACGCUGUGAGUCACCAGAAGGCACAAAGUGCAAGUUCUACAGAGAUCACGACCCCAACCCUAUAAGAGAACUGGAUUACAAGCAGGGUGCUUGCCAGUUCAAGUUGUUAUGGAAUGAGUUCAAAAAGUGGAACAAGACUGAAGUUGAUCUCAGCUGUGUAAUUCUACAGAACAGAGAAGAUAAAACGAUUAAAACCUCAAAACCUAGUGAUGCUCGAAGACUUAAUGUGGGUGAUCCAAUAAGAAAGCCCAGAGUUCAUGUGGAGAAGAUUGGGAAUUACCUCAAUCUUCGAUGUGAGGCCAAGGCUGGCACCUCAUGCUACUUUUAUCUGAACAAUGGUGACUCACACUUUAAUAAACAACCCUACAAAGACAAUGUCUGUGUGGGGAGAGUGGCAGAAGAGGAACUGCAGAGGAAGAGGAGCAGUGCUGGAGAGAUCUUCAUCACCUGUGCUGUGGAGCUGGUGGUAGAGGGUGAAGAUACUGUGACAUCACAGCAUAGUGAACCCCUCGGUAUCACCAUAGAUGGAGCUACUAGUUCCCCAUCAGCGUUCAGUUUAAUCAAACCUGUUCAGGAGGAGACAAGCACCAAUGUCACAGCCCAAGGAAGAGUUUAUUCAGGUCCAGUGUUCCUCGUCAUCAUCAGUCUGGGUGCUGGUUCCCUUUUCCUGGUUCUGCUAGCUGGGUCUGUGCUGUGUGUUCUCCAACGCAAGUGUGGGUUUCAAUGCAGGCCUGUAAAUACUGGAAGCCCACCUGAGCAGCAAGACCAAACCCCACCUUGUGUCUAUUCUGUCAUCACAAAGCCGUCUAGGGAUGAGGAAGAGGACAGUAGUCUGCAAUACGCUACUGUGACAUCUACAAGUGACCGAGCUAGUCUUCAAUAUGCAACAGUGACAUCUACCGGUAACCAAGUUGGACCUGGGCGCACCAAGAUCAAGUUUGAAAUAGCUGGAGAGUACGCCCUCUUAGCAGAAUCAUAGAAGAAGAAACAUUUACUGGAUAACAUGUUUUGCCAUAGUUUACAGUUACAAUCCUAGCUUUUUUUCUUCAUAUUGGAUCAUAAAUUACUCAUAACACAAAAACAAAUCCUGCCACAACAACAAAUACUAAAGAUAUCUACUCAUUUCUGAAAACAAGCAGCUUCAACUAUUUGCAUUUUAGGUUAAUUGAAAUAAAUGAAAAAUAAACUUUGUCUGAAGUAUAAAAUAACUGUUUUCCUAAAUUGAGUUAGCCAAUCUAGUCAGCAGUCACCAAUCACUAGUCACCAAUCUAUUUCACUCCUUGACAAGAGUCAAUAGAGACUCAAAGCCACAGGAGGGUAGAACACAGUUCAAACUUUGCUUGUUACAUCUCUACAUCUCUCUCUCCUUUUCUGAUCUCUCGCUCUCUACAUCUCUCUCUUUAACCUUGUCUGGUGUAUAUUAGUUUUCAGUGGUGCAAGAAGUACUCAACUGUCAUAAUUAAGUAAAAGUAAAGAUACCUUAAUAGAAAAUGACUCAAAUAAAAAUAAAGUAUUUGGUUUAAAAUAUACUUAAGUAUCAAAAGUGAAUAUAUAACUCAUUUCAAAUUCCUUAUAUUAAGCAAACCAGAAUGUUCCAUUUUCUUUUUUUUCUUCUUUUUUACGGAAGGCCUAGGGACCACUUCCACACUCAGCUAUCAUUUACAAACAAAUCAUGUCAGUGUAGUGAGUCCGCCAUAUCAGAGGCAGUACGGAUGACCAGGGAAGUUCGGUUGAUAAGUGCAUGAAUUUGACUAUUUUCCUGCCCUGCUAAGCAUUCAAAAUGUAAUGAGUACUUUUGGGUGUCAAUGAAAAUGUAUGGAGUAAAAAUUACAGUGUUUUCUAAAGUAAUGUAGUUAUCUAAAAGUAAAAUAAGUCAAAAAUAUGAAUUGUAAAGUAUAGAUACCCCAAAAAACUACUUAAGUAAUACUUUAAAGUAUUUUUACUUAAGUACUUUACAUCACUGUUGGUUGAAAAAAUAUGUUUUGUUAUUAUCUCGUUUCACUUACAGUAUGUGCCUUUACUUCCACCUGAUGAUACACUACCUCCACAUUUCCUCUCCCUCCUUCCUGAUUUACAGAUCUGCUACUCUAUGGACCCAACCUCUUCCUGUAGUCUGUCAACAUCUGUUCCUCUCAGAACAAUUUCAUUCUCAUACUGGGCUAUAAAUAGAUGUGCAAAGGUUUUAAGAUAGGAUUCAUUUAAACAAGUAUACUUGAUGCAUGUGUAAAUGAACACCUUUCUUGAUUUAUAAGUAAAUUAUUGAUGUGCAAAGCUUCAACUAGAGACUAAUGAAACCCACAUGAUAAUUGAAACAAUUAAAUCAUAUUUCAAAUGGUUUUUUUCCCAGUUACAAGUGGUUCCUGCCAGUAAGGCCUGGUUAGGCCCAACCAAAUCACAAAAACCCAGAACAAAAUCUUGCAUGAACAUAACUCUCAUAACCCCUGUGCUCCCGACAGACGAAAACAUGUUUGUUACGGAUCUUAGGACAGAAUAGGCCCACCCAGAUCAGUCUUAUCUACACCUGCAAUUGGAGCACAUUACAAACCUAUGACAGCUACAGGUAUGAAAGUGGAUAUGACAAUUAUGCACCAUCACAGAAGGGUCAUAGGUGGGAGCUAUUGUUUCACCAUAAAAGGAGAGAGGGGAGACACAAAAUACAGUGUGUCACUCUCACACUCACUACUGUGGCAUUGCCUGAGUCAUUAUCUACAGCCAACAGCUCCUGUGUAUAUUUCAAAAAACAUUUUUGAGAGCAUGUGAAAAUAGUCGACCCCGAAAGCAAAUCUCAUUUCCGUAUAUCCUGUUUCACUUCUCUCUCUGCAUUAUGCAUAAUAACAGGUGGCAGGUUUGGGACCUUCAAAUAACUCCUAACCAUGAUCCAAUGAAUGUGCUGCUGGUGCCUUAUGUGUGAGUUAUGUAUUAUUAAUAAUAUAAUUAUUGUACUGUAUAAUAAAAUGUUAAAUAAUUUACUUUCAUAACAAUAUCCCUAAUUGUACUUUUGAUUGGAAUAACAAUGAACUACAUUUCUUGUAGUCUCUCUUGACCUACAAUUAACAGAUGCAGGUAUGUUUCUCUUGCUAUUUUUGUCAUUCAACAUUAGGGAUGCACUUUUGUGAUUUGCAUGGUUAUCAAAGGCUGGGAAAUAAAUGUUGAGCUCUUAAGAAGUGAAUAAUCUUGCAUUUUGAAUUCGUUUUAGAAUGGACACAAAUCUUAGUUUUUUUCACUUUGAUGUUAUCAUUCCUAUCUUUCCUCAACUAUCUCUCUCUUUCCUCAACUAUCUCUCUCUUUCCUCAACUAUCUCUCUCUUUCCUCAACUAUCUCUCUCUUUCCUCAACUAUCUCUCCCUUUCCUCGUCCUUCAAGGGGACAAGGAGAAUCAGACAAACACUUGGAUUACCCAGGAGAAGAAGCACCAGAUCUCAGUAAGCCUGAAGUUUGUGACCCUGACUGAAGUGGUUGAGCUGAGCUGCGAGUCCUCUGCCCUUGUAGAGGGUCAGCAGUGUUUGUUCUAUGUGGAUUCUAAACUCAAGGAGCUUGGUCGCUCAAAUGCCAGCCACAACCAAUGCUCCCUCCCAGUAAAGGGGUCAGAGCUGCUUGGGUGGAAGCCCAGAGGGCUGUGGUCAAAGGUCACCGUCCAGUGUCAUUACGAAGAGGACUCACCUCCCAGCAAAAAUGUCACAGUGGUGGUGUGCAUAGAUUCCUGAUUUAGGUCAUUCAUCCAUUUGGUCAAAAAUACAUUUUACUCUGUUACAGACAUGCUGACUAAGUACAUCAUUGGAUGUAUGGCCCUGAUAGGAUUCAUGAAUCUACUUGCAGUAUUCAUAUUUUGCAUCACCUGUCUCCUCUCACUGAAAGCAAAGAGUAUGUGAACCUGUCGUGGACGAAUCAGAUUUAGUUGGGUAACAUAGAUAAUUAAGAUGUUUUAUUAGUAUAAUAUGCUUAUUUGAGGUACUUGUCAUUAGAAAGUGUCCAUUGGACUCUGGUGUCUUUUCAGUUGCACGUCUACCUUAGCUGGGACUCAGACACUUGGGGCCCAGAGAGGGGAGAGGUCAGAUUUGUCUUCAUAUGGGAAUGUGUCUUUACUUAUUCUUAAACCAUGUGAAGGGAUGGCGUGAUUAAUGGGGAACCAACAAUGUCUGUGAGCAAGUCACUCCCACCUUUUCUUUAUUGUGGGGAUGAUUAUGGCAGUAAAUGAACCCUUGUAUGUCCUCUCUUAGAUCUCGCACUUAUCCUGUGAUAAUAUAUGGCCUAGAGGCUCACUCCCCAGUGAGCCUGUCCAGGAGUAGGGUCAAGAGGGGGUUUGCUUGAGAUGGGAGUAUCUAGAGUUGACAAUUGAUAUAUGCCAUUGGAUGAAAUUGUGUUUUUGUUCUAUGAAGUACCAGGGAGGGACGGUUCUAGGGAGACCAGAUACUGGUCUAUAUAAUGAACCCUGUUGACAUAGCAGUUACUGUCUGAUGUGUUUUAUUGAUAUCUGUCAUACAAAACUUAACCUUUGUGAACUGUUACUAAGUAUCUGUGGUUUGUCAAUGUACGUUGAAGGGGGUGUAUCGUUGCUAUAAAAGAUCCCUGUAGCCAUUCUGUAAUCACCUUCCUGGUUCAUUCGAGAGAAUGCAUUAUUGAAGGUCAAGAACUUUUGCAAAAGUAUCUUAAGUAUUAAAGAUGUAGUUUAACUCGGACUGGUGUGUUUGUAACUCCUCAUUUGGUAAUGCGGAAAUUAGCCACCACAAACCUGCUAUCUAACAGCCUUUUAAACGUAUUAGCAAAACCGAUCAGACAGAAUCGCUCAUUUAUUCCAUUGUUUUACUGUCAUAGGGAACGGACGCCUCGUCAUAACAAGGUGAAUAGUGUUGGUUGUGUGUUGAACAGCAUGAUUAUGACAGCAUACAGAACAUACAGUUUAAAUGUGAAUGCCUGUCUCACCUAACCAUGUCUUUCAGAUCGCCCAGUGACCAGACAUUGCCAGGAGACCCUACCCUAACAAGUAUGUAUGAUGUCACAGUGAAGUGUACGUGUGUAGGCCUAUUAUUAUAGAGAUAUUUACCACAGUCCC
ensembl:lncRNA uncharacterized LOC115159619